CAGAUCCUAGACCCUUUCUCCAGCCCAAACGUUUUCAGAAAUCACUCUCUCUCUCUCUCUCUCUCUCUCGGUCGUCGCCGCUGCCCAUUGCCACCGCCGAGACCUGUUUUGCUUUCGCCGCCGCAUCCUCCGCCACGGAGAAAAGCUCCCAAAGCUGUUGACGAAGAUCUGUACAGUAUCUCGCCGGAGCUCCUCUGCGCCAAGCACUGAAGAGUUCUCAAUUUCUCCAUCUGAAUGUAGAAGUAAAGCUAUAUCUCCUCCAUCCCUUCCUCCCUAGCGGUUGUAUUAGCAGUUUGAGGAAAUGGCUGCUGCUUGGGAAAUUACAGCAACGGAAUUCUUGCAAGGUUCUCAUAGACAAAAUCUAUUUUUGCCAAGAAAUUCGCUCAGGCAGAGAAAUCAUUUACUUUGGGGCACACUUCGGCAUCGAAUUCCAUCACCGAGAAUAUCUACUAAACGUACUGCAUUUAGGCCUUCAUGUCCAACAAAGGUCAGAGCUGUGGUUUCAGGGGAUGUGAGUAGUGCAGUUGAUGAAGAAUCAGGCAUGCUUCAAAAACCUGCUGAAAGGGUUUUACAUUUUUUCCGCUCACCAUUGAUUCAAGAGAGUGCAACGGCAGAACUUCUGAAGUCAAUUCAGAUGAAAAUUUCAAAUCAAGUAAUUGGUUUGAAAACUGAGCAGUGUUUCAAUAUUGGGCUUGAUUCUGGUCUUUCAAGUGAAAAAAACUGUGUUCUUAAAUGGCUUCUAGGAGAAACCUAUGAGCCAGAUAAUUUGGGGACUGAGAGCUUUUUUCAUAGGGAAAAGAAUGCAGGGUCAAACAUGGUGAUAAUUGAAGUUGGGCCUCGUUUGUCAUUUACAACUGCAUGGUCUGCUAAUGCUGUAUCAAUCUGCCGAGCCUGUGGAUUGACAGAGGUAACUAGAAUAGAAAGAUCAAGGAGGUACUUGCUGUACAUUAAGGCUGGAAGCAGUUCAUUGCCAGAUCAUCAAAUCAAUGAGUUUGCUGCGAUGGUGCAUGAUCGGAUGACUGAGUGUGUUUAUACCCAUAAGCUCACAUCCUUUGCUACUAGUGCAGUCCCCGAGGAUGUUCAAUAUGUACCAGUCAUGGAGAGGGGCCGGAUUGCAUUGGAAGAAAUAAAUGAGAAAAUGGGUUUAGCCUUUGAUGAACAAGAUUUGGAGUAUUACACUCAGCUUUUCAGAGAUGACAUCAAGCGGAACCCUACAACAGUUGAGCUCUUUGAUAUUGCACAGUCUAACAGUGAACACAGCAGGCACUGGUUUUUUACUGGGAAGAUAAUUAUAGAUGGUCAACCCAUGACUAGGACUCUGAUGCAAAUUGUCAAGAGCACUUUGCAGACAAAUCCAAAUAAUUCUGUCAUUGGAUUCAAGGAUAACUCAAGUGCAAUCAAAGGAUUUAUGGUGAAACAGUUGCGACCAGUUCAACCUGGCUUGACCUGUCCGUUAAAUGCAAGUGCUUGGGAUCUUGAUAUCUUAUUUACGGCGGAGACCCACAAUUUCCCAUGUGCAGUGGCACCUUACCCUGGUGCAGAGACAGGUGCGGGAGGUCGAAUCAGGGAUACUCAUGCGACUGGAAGGGGGUCCUUUGUUGUUGCAUCUACGGCUGGUUAUUGUGUUGGGAAUCUUAACAUAGAAGGGUCUUAUGCUCCUUGGGAAGAUCCAUCAUUCACAUACCCGCCAAACUUGGCUUCCCCUUUGCAGAUUCUCAUAGAUGCUAGCAAUGGUGCAUCUGACUAUGGGAACAAAUUUGGGGAGCCCUUGAUUCAGGGCUACACAAGAACUUUUGGAAUGAGACUUCCAAGCGGGGAAAGGCGGGAAUGGUUAAAGCCGAUAAUGUUCAGUGGAGGAAUCGGGAUGAUUGAUCACAUCCACAUAUCAAAAGGAGAGCCUGACAUUGGAAUGUUAGUUGUUAAGAUUGGAGGCCCAGCAUAUCGUAUAGGAAUGGGAGGUGGUGCUGCAUCCAGCAUGGUUAGCGGUCAGAAUGAUGCCGAGCUUGAUUUUAAUGCCGUACAGCGUGGGGAUGCAGAGAUGGCACAGAAAUUGUAUCGUGUUGUUCGUGCCUGUAUUGAAAUGGGGGAGAAGAAUCCAAUCAUCAGCAUUCAUGAUCAGGGUGCUGGUGGCAACUGUAAUGUUGUUAAGGAAAUAAUAUACCCAAAGGGUGCUGAGAUUGAUAUCCGGGCAAUUGUAGUUGGUGACCACACCAUGUCUGUUUUGGAGAUAUGGGGUGCAGAAUACCAAGAGCAGGAUGCGAUAUUGGUGAAGCCUGAAAGCCGCAGCCUUUUACAGUCAAUUUGUGAGAGAGAAAGAGUCUCUAUGGCUGUCAUUGGGACAAUUAGUGGUGAGGGACGUGCUGUUUUAGUUGACAGCAAAGCUAUUGAGAAGUGCCAGUCAAGUGGACUCCCUCCACCACCACCUGCAGUAGAUCUUGAGCUUGAGAAAGUUCUCGGACACAUGCCUCAAAAAACUUUUGAAUUCAAUCGUGUUGUUCAUGUGCGAGAGCCACUUGACAUUGCUCCUGGGGUAAAAGUGAUGGAUGCACUAAAGAGGGUGUUGAGACUUCCUUCUGUCUGUUCAAAACGCUUCUUAACAACUAAAGUUGAUAGGUGUGUGACAGGCCUCGUGGCACAGCAACAAACUGUGGGUCCUUUGCAAAUACCUCUUUCUGAUGUUGCUGUUAUCGCACAAACUUACAGCGACUUCACUGGAGGUGCAUGUGCAAUUGGAGAGCAGCCAAUCAAGGGGCUUUUGGAUCCAAAAGCAAUGGCACGACUGGCUGUUGGAGAAGCACUCACAAAUCUUGUUUGGGCAAAAGUUACUUCACUUUCUGAUGUUAAAGCGAGUGGGAAUUGGAUGUAUGCUGCGAAACUUGAUGGGGAAGGAGCAGCCAUGUAUGAUGCUGCCACGACUCUCUCGGAAACCAUGAUUGAACUUGGAAUCGCUAUUGAUGGAGGAAAGGAUAGUCUAUCCAUGGCAGCCCAUUCAUCGGAGGAGGUAGUCAAGGCUCCAGGAAAUCUUGUAAUCAGUGCCUAUGUUACUUGCCCUGAUAUAACCAAAACAGUGACACCGGAUUUGAAGCUUGGAGAUGAUGGGGCACUUCUUCUAAUUGAUUUGGCAAAAGGAAAGCGGCGUCUAGGUGGGUCUGCUCUGGCUCAAGUUUUUGACCAAGUUGGACAUGAAUGUCCUGAUCUUGAUGAUGUUUCUUACCUUAAAAGGGUUUUUGAGGGGGUUCAAGAUCUUCUUUCCGAUGAGCUGAUCUCUGCGGGUCAUGAUAUCAGUGAUGGCGGGCUCGUUGUCAACAUUCUUGAGAUGGCAUUCGCUGGAAAUUGUGGCAUUCGAUUGGACUUGACUUCAGCAGAGAACACACUCUUCCAAAUGCUUUUUGCCGAAGAGCUUGGUCUUGUUCUUGAGGUUAGUAAGAAGAACUUGGAUAAGAUAAUUGGAAAACUAGGCAGUGCUGGCAUUUCUGCUGAAAUCAUUGGACAAGUAACCACUGAACCUGUGAUAGAAUUGAAGGUAAAUGGGAUAACUCAUUUGAAUGAGAAAACUUCCCACCUUAGGGACAUGUGGGAAGAAACCAGUUUUCAUUUGGAAAAGUUCCAAAGGCUAGCAUCGUGUGUUGAAUUAGAAAAGGAAGGGUUGAAGAGUAGGCAUACACCUUUGUGGGCAUUAUCGUUCACUCCAAUUUUCACAGAUGAGAAAUACAUGGCUGCUAUUUCGAAACCAAAAGUAGCCGUGAUUAGAGAGGAGGGAAGCAAUGGGGACAGGGAAAUGUCUGCCGCAUUUUAUGCUGCAGGUUUUGAACCGUGGGAUGUCACGAUGUCAGAUCUUCUUAACAGAGCCAUAUCUCUGCACGAGUUUCGUGGGAUUGUGUUUGUGGGAGGUUUUAGCUAUGCCGAUGUGCUUGAUUCUGCAAAGGGUUGGUCUGCUUCUAUACGAUUCAAUCAACCUCUUCUAAAGCAAUUUCAGGAAUUUUAUGAGCGACCUGACACUUUUAGUCUUGGGGUUUGCAAUGGGUGCCAGCUCAUGGCUCUGUUGGGUUGGGUUCCAGGCCCAGAGGUUGGAGGUGUUUUUGGAAUCGGUGGUGACCCAUCACAACCAAGAUUCGUACACAAUGAGUCAGGACGGUUUGAAUGCCGCUUCACAAGUGUGACAAUAAAAGACUCACCGGCUAUAAUGUUCAAAGGAAUGGAGGGUAGUACACUAGGUGUAUGGGCUGCACAUGGUGAGGGACGAGCAUAUUUCCCUGAUGAUGGUGUUUUGGACCGUGUUCUUGACUCAAACCUGGCACCUGUGAGAUAUUGUGAUGAUGAUGGGAAACCGACUGAAGCCUAUCCUUUCAAUCUGAACGGUUCUCCUCUGGGCGUGGCAGCAAUUUGUUCUCCUGAUGGGAGGCAUCUGGCGAUGAUGCCUCAUCCGGAACGUUGCUUUCUCAUGUGGCAGUUUCCAUGGUAUCCGAAACACUGGAAUGUGGACAAGAAAGGCCCAAGCCCAUGGUUGCAGAUGUUCCAGAAUGCCAGAAAGUGGUGCGAUUGAUGUGGGUUUUUGGUUCUUUCACCAUCAACAUUGUGAUGAAGAAGAGUUGUGAUCAAUCAUGUAUCGGUAUUGUAAGCAGCUGUGAGAGUGAGGGAGAAAGAGAGAGCAAGAGAUAGAAAAGAGAGGGGGAGAGUAAGAAACUUCCAGCACCUUUGUGGCUCAACAACUCUAAGGUGUUAGAAGGACCUAGAGUGGAUUCAUGGCGUAGUGGGGACUUAAUUGCAUGGAUCUCUAGGAUAUUCAUUGAUUUUGUUUUAGCUUGUUAUGUUGGUUUUGAGCAUAUGUUGUGGUUGAAUUUUAUUUAGAAUUAUUUUAUUUUAUAGGCGGAUUGUGUCUCAUUUAGUAUAUAUUUUUGGAAGUUGGUUAUGACUUGUUUUGCCAUGCAUACUUGUGACAUGUCAUGGGAUUGAGCUUUGAUUUAUUUUUACUGGACUAUUGUCACAGCUAUUCUAUGUGAUUAUGGAUUCGUGUUUAGGCU